rnacentral:tRNA from 1 species
GCCUGGGUGGCUCAGUCGGUUGAGUGUCUGACUUCAGCUCAGGUCAUGAUCUCACAGUCUGUGAGUUCGAGGCUCACGUCAGGCU